GGAGACUGCUUUCUCAGUAAGGCUUGGAAACUGUUUUUCCUUCGGCUCUGAGGUGGAGAGAGCUGAAGAGCAGUGAGUGGAAGACCUCACCUAGCUGCCAGGCAUCAGUGAGAAGGGAGUUUGAAAAUUAAGGGAGUUGAGGGAGGGAGAGCUGUCAAUCUCAUCCCAACCUGCUCCAGCCAGCUGGGAUAAAGCCAAGGUUAUGGUGGAAGUGUCAACAAAAACCCAGCAGACUAUGUCCAACUCUAUGAAGGUUUCUGCAAUGUUGAGAAGAUGCCAAAUCUACUUGCCAACCCUCGUCUUAUUCUGUGUGGGAGGUCUGCACCUAAGAUUUCUGACUACAAUAGCAACAGUGUUCACAAUGUACUACGUCUUUAACCUUCAGUAUCCAGAGGAGGCAUGUGGCACAUUGGAAUUCAUUCAAAGACGAUUCAUCUGGAUAAACCCUGAAAAAGGCACGAAGCCAGGCAGAGGCAAGGUUGAUUUGAAGAAUACUGGAAAGACUGUGAAUAACAAGUCUGCUACUGUCAUCCCCAAAGUUGUGUCCCUCCUAAAGAACCUCAUCGAUUUCAAAUGGGAUUUUGUCUAGACCCGAAUGUCCUCUCAGGCCAGAGCCAUCAGAAGCUGGAGUGAGAUGUUUUUGCCUCUUCAUAAGGUUUUUUUAAGCUAUUGGUUUGGUUAAUGUGUUCCUCUCAGACUUGCACCCAUGCCAGAAUCAGGGGUGUUUUUUUUUUUUUUUUUUUUU
ensembl:lncRNA